AUAUAUGCAUUUUUCCACUGAACGUCUUAUAUUUGCUAAGUCGAGGUUCUCUUUGCACCAUUUAUUCUAAUAUCCCAAAUUGUUAGCAGGUACUUUUUUACUCCAGUGGAUGUAAAGGAAGAUAGCGGGUUAGAGUUUUGAGAAGAUGAUGUUCAACAUAAUCAUCACAUGAUGAUCUCUCUUCUGGGUUUGUAAAUUAGAAGGAUUUAUUUAUACGUGGCCAUGAGAAGCCAUCUUCUUGAGAACACACUAUGGAUCUACCAACUGAUUCGCUAGGCCAAGAUGAAAUGGGAGCUGAGUAUGUUUUUGGAAGUCAACACCAUCCACAUCUCUUAUAGUUGAUAAUAAGAGCACUGAUGGGCACUUCUUAGGCAUUCAUUUCAACAUCAGAAUAGGUUGAAUAUAAUAACAAAAAGAAUUUGCAACAAUUCAUAGGCUCUAAUGAUAGUGACACGUUUGAAGCAUCUAACAAGAUGAAUGGGUAAGACCUUCUUUGGCGAUCGAUCUUCUCUUAGCCUUCUACUUUCAGAAUUGACUGCUUACUAUGUUGGUCAGUUGGUGGCAAUCGAUGAACACAGAAUUGCAGUUCAAGGCUUUGUGUGGAGUAUCAAUUCGUUUGACCAGUGGAGAGUUAAUCUAGGAACAGUUUUAUCUUCCGCUCUUCAUCUUCCUCUGAAUCUUAAAGUAGCUGCUGAAGCUGAGAAUUUACUAACAAAGUCUAUGUCCACUCUAGACACUUUUUCGCUUAAAGAAUGCCAUGUUCUUGCUCGGAAACAACAAACCAAACAAUUAUAGCUGAUUUGAGCCUUUUGUGAGAAUUUUAUCAUUGUGCUUAUCAAAAGAUAAAUUAGAUUUACAUUGUCAGGCUAUGUGUUUUCGUUAUAUGCAUUUUCCUAGAUUUUGAUCUGUU